GAAGCUACGCCAGGAAUAGUACGCAAGGAAUUCACUGGGUAAACUGAACAAGGACUCACUGAGUUUAUAAAUCCAAUGUUUAAUAUCACUUUAUGGAGGAAAAAAUUCAUGUUCAUUUAAACCAAGGAUUACAUAUGUGUCUAAGGAAGAUCUUCAGAAUCGAAGGACAGAAACUUAAGGACACUUCUAACGCUAGUUUCAUCUCCACAUGACUGCUGUCACCAUCUACUUGCCGAGCCAGACUAAACCGGG